AGAACGAACGCUGGCGGCAUGCCUAACACAUGCAAGUCGAACGCUCUUGGGGCUUCGGUUCCAAGGGAGUGGCGCACGGGUGAGUAGCGCGUGGGAACCUGCCCUGGAGUGGGGGAUAACCGAGGGAAACUUCGGCUAAUACCGCAUGCGCCCGGGAAACCGGGGAAAGAUUUAUCGCUCUAGGAGGGGCCCGCGUCGGAUUAGCUAGUUGGUGGGGUAACGGCCUACCAAGGCUUUGAUCCGUAGCUGGUCUGAGAGGAUGAUCAGCCACACUGGGACUGAGACACGGCCCAGACUCCUACGGGAGGCAGCAGUGGGGAAUAUUGGAUAAUGGGCGCAAGCCUGAUCCAGCAAUGCCGCGUGAGUGAUGAAGGCCUUCGGGUUGUAAAGCUCUUUCGCACGCGAGGAUGAUGACGCUAGCGUGAGAAGAAGCCCGGCUAACUUCGCGCCAGCAGCCGC
rnacentral:rRNA from 1 species